CCUGCGGGUGGCAGCAGUGGGGAAUAUUGGACAAUGGGCGAAAGCCUGAUCCAGCCAUGCCGCGUGUGUGAAGAAGGCCUUCGGGUUGUAAAGCACUUUCAGUGGGGAAGAAAGCCUUGGGGCUAAUACCCUCGAGGAAGGACAUCACCCACAGAAGAAGCACCGGCUAACUCCGUGCCAGCAGCCGCGGUAAUACGGAGGGUGCGAGCGUUAAUCGGAAUUACUGGGCGUAAAGCGCGCGUAGGCGGUCUGAUAAGCCGGUUGUGAAAGCCCCGGGCUCAACCUGGGAACGGCAUCCGGAACUGUCAGGCUAGAGUGCAGGAGAGGAAGGUAGAAUUCCCGGUGUAGCGGUGAAAUGCGUAGAGAUCGGGAGGAAUACCAGUGGCGAAGGCGGCCUUCUGGACUGACACUGACGCUGAGGUGCGAAAGCGUGGGUAGCAAACAGGAUUAGAUACCCCAGUAGUC
rnacentral:rRNA from 1 species